rnacentral:rRNA from 1 species
AUACGGAGGGUGCAAGCGUUACUCGGAAUCACUGGGCGUAAAGCGCGCGCAGGCGGUCUUUUAAGUUGGAUGUGAAAGCCUACGGCUCAACCGUAGAACUGCAUCCAGAACUAUUAGACUAGAGUGUGGGAGAGGAAGAUGGAAUUAGUUGUGUAGGGGUAAAAUCCGUAGAGAUAACUAGGAAUACCAAAAGCGAAGGCAAUCUUCUGGAACACUACUGACGCUGAGGCGCGAAAGCGUGGGGAGCAAACAGGAUUAGAAACCCUAGUAGUCC